UGAUGGACAGGGAGGCCUGGUGUGCUGCGAUUCAUGGGGUCGCAAAGAGUCGGACACGACUGAGCGACUGAACUGAACUGAAUUGAACUUCCUCUUAUUUAGAGUUUUGUCUUCCCAGUAUUUCUUUUUAAAACGAAUCCCCUGUCCUUUCAAGAACUGAAUUAUAUUUUCACAUUUUCCACUUUCUUCUCCCAGCACUAACUUCCUGGAAAAGUGCCAAAGUGAAUGGGCCAAGUUCUACCCCUAGUGUUGCCUUGUACUCUCCAAGGCAGGAAUGCUUUCUGUAUCUCCUACGCCUCUGCAGCUUAGGAGAAUACAGCGCUCAGACUUAAAUUGCCUUUUAGGCAAAAUUACUCACUUUAAGACAGGAAGUUCUGUGUUCUACUCUGUUGGAUUUUCAAGAGGCCCCGAUACCACCGCCUUACAGCAUCAGCUGUGAUGGAAUACCAAGUGCUGGUCCCGCCAGUCAGCGAAGAGAACACCACGGGUUCUAUAACCACCGUGUUACAAAUAGGAAGCAGACCUUAGAGGGUUUCAGAACAUUGGCAUGCAGCUGGUAACACAGAAGGAGAAAACAGAAACCACAUCCGGAGAGGCCUCACACCUGGCCCUUCAGACCAGAGCUCCAAGUGAAGAACCGCGGCGCUGACACCUCAGUUUGGGGGCCGUGUGCAGAAGCAACACUU